CCCUCCCUCUUUCUUCAGGCUUAACGCAUGCAAGUCGAGCGCCCCGCAAGGGGAGCGGCAGUCGGGUGAGUAACGCGUGGGAACGUACCUUUUGGUUCGGAACAACUCCGGGACACUGGAGCUAAUACCGGAUAAGCCCUAACGGGGAAAGAUUUAUCGCCUUAAGAUCGGCCCGCGUCUGAUUAGCUAGUUGGUGAGGUAACGGCUCACCAAGGCGACGAUCAGUAGCUGGUCUGAGAGGAUGAUCAGUCACACUGGGACUGAGACACGGCCCAGACUCCUACGAGAGGCAGCAGUGGGGAAUAUUGGACAAUGGGCGCAAGCCUGAUCCAGCCAUGCCGCGUGAGUGAUGAAGGCCUUAGGGUUGUAAAGCUCUUUUGUCCGGGAAGAUAAUGACAGUACCGGAAGAAUAAGCCCCGGCUAACUUCGUG
rnacentral:rRNA from 1 species